UUUGGUUAAGUUAGAAAGGGCGCACGGUGGAUGCCUUGACACUAGGAGUCGAUGAAGGACGGGACUAACGCCGAUAUGCUUCGGGGAGCUGUAAGUAAGCUUUGAUCCGAAGAUUUCCGAAUGGGGAAACCCACCAUACGUAAUGGUAUGGUAUCCUUAUCUGAAUACAUAGGGUAAGGAAGACAGACCCAGGGAACUGAAACAUCUAAGUACCUGGAGGAAGAGAAAGCAAAUGCGAUUUCCUGAGUAGCGGCGAGCGAAACGGAACAUAGCCCAAACCAAGAGGCUUGCCUCUUGGGGUUGUAGGACAUUCUAUACGGAGUUACAAAGGAACGAGGUAGACGAAGCGACCUGGAAAGGUCCGUCGUAGAGGGUAACAACCCCGUAGUCGAAACUUCGUUCUCUCUUGAAUGUAUCCUGAGUACGGCGGAACACGUGAAAUUCCGUCGGAAUCUGGGAGGACCAUCUCCCAAGGCUAAAUACUCCCUAGUGAUCGAUAGUGAACCAGUACCGUGAGGGAAAGGUGAAAAGCACCCCGGAAGGGGAGUGAAAGAGAUCCUGAAACCGUGUGCCUACAAAUAGUCAGAGCCCGUUAACGGGUGAUGGCGUGCCUUUUGUAGAAUGAACCGGCGAGUUACGAUCCCGUGCGAGGUUAAGCUGAAGAGGCGGAGCCGCAGCGAAAGCGAGUCUGAAUAGGGCGUUUAGUACGUGGUCGUAGACCCGAAACCAGGUGAUCUACCCAUGUCCAGGGUGAAGUUCAGGUAACACUGAAUGGAGGCCCGAACCCACGCACGUUGAAAAGUGCGGGGAUGAGGUGUGGGUAGCGGAGAAAUUCCAAUCGAACCUGGAGAUAGCUGGUUCUCCCCGAAAUAGCUUUAGGGCUAGCCUUAAGUGUAAGAGUCUUGGAGGUAGAGCACUGAUUGGACUAGGGGUCCUCAUCGGAUUACCGAAUUCAGUCAAACUCCGAAUGCCAAUGACUUAUCCUUAGGAGUCAGACUGCGAGUGAUAAGAUCCGUAGUCAAAAGGGAAACAGCCCAGACCGCCAGCUAAGGUCCCAAAGUGUGUAUUAAGUGGAAAAGGAUGUGGAGUUGCUUAGACAACUAGGAUGUUGGCUUAGAAGCAGCCACCAUUUAAAGAGUGCGUAAUAGCUCACUAGUCGAGUGACUCUGCGCCGAAAAUGUACCGGGGCUAAAUACACCACCGAAGCUGCGGAUUGAUACCAAUGGUAUCAGUGGUAGGGGAGCGUUCUAAGGACAGUGAAGUCAGACCGGAAGGACUGGUGGAGUGCUUAGAAGUGAGAAUGCCGGUAUGAGUAGCGAAAGACGGGUGAGAAUCCCGUCCACCGAAUGCCUAAGGUUUCCUGAGGAAGGCUCGUCCGCUCAGGGUUAGUCAGGACCUAAGCCGAGGCCGACAGGCGUAGGCGAUGGACAACAGGUUGAUAUUCCUGUACCACCUCUUUAUCGUUUGAGCAAUGGAGGGACGCAGAAGGAUAGAAGAAGCGUGCGAUUGGUUGUGCACGUCCAAGCAGUUAGGCUGAUAAGUAGGCAAAUCCGCUUAUCGUGAAGGCUGAGCUGUGAUGGGGAAGCUCCUUAUGGAGCGAAGUCUUUGAUUCCCCGCUGCCAAGAAAAGCUUCUAGCGAGAUAAAAGGUGCCUGUACCGCAAACCGACACAGGUAGGCGAGGAGAGAAUCCUAAGGUGUGCGAGAGAACUCUGGUUAAGGAACUCGGCAAAAUGACCCCGUAACUUCGGGAGAAGGGGUGCUUUCUUAACGGAAAGCCGCAGUGAAUAGGCCCAAGCGACUGUUUAGCAAAAACACAGCUCUCUGCGAAGCCGUAAGGCGAAGUAUAGGGGGUGACACCUGCCCGGUGCUGGAAGGUUAAGGAGAGGGGUUAGCGUAAGCGAAGCUCUGAACUGAAGCCCCAGUAAACGGCGGCCGUAACUAUAACGGUCCUAAGGUAGCGAAAUUCCUUGUCGGGUAAGUUCCGACCUGCACGAAAGGUGUAACGAUUUGGGCACUGUCUCAACCAGAGACUCGGUGAAAUUAUAGUACCUGUGAAGAUGCAGGUUACCCGCGACAGGACGGAAAGACCCCGUGGAGCUUUACUGUAGCCUGAUAUUGAAUUUUGGUACAGUUUGUACAGGAUAGGCGGGAGCCUUUGAAACCGGAGCGCUAGCUUCGGUGGAGGCGCUGGUGGGAUACCGCCCUGACUGUAUUGAAAUUCUAACCUACGGGUCUUAUCGACCCGGGAGACAGUGUCAGGUGGGCAGUUUGACUGGGGCGGUCGCCUCCUAAAGUGUAACGGAGGCGCCCAAAGGUUCCCUCAGAAUGGUUGGAAAUCAUUCGUAGAGUGCAAAGGCAUAAGGGAGCUUGACUGCGAGACCUACAAGUCGAGCAGGGACGAAAGUCGGGCUUAGUGAUCCGGUGGUUCCGCAUGGAAGGGCCAUCGCUCAACGGAUAAAAGCUACCCCGGGGAUAACAGGCUUAUCUCCCCCAAGAGUCCACAUCGACGGGGAGGUUUGGCACCUCGAUGUCGGCUCAUCGCAUCCUGGGGCUGUAGUCGGUCCCAAGGGUUGGGCUGUUCGCCCAUUAAAGCGGUACGCGAGCUGGGUUCAGAACGUCGUGAGACAGUUCGGUCCCUAUCCGUCGUGGGCGUAGGAAAUUUGAGAGGAGCUGUCCUUAGUACGAGAGGACCGGGAUGGACGCACCGCUGGUGUACCAGUUGUUCUGCCAAGGGCAUAGCUGGGUAGCUAUGUGCGGAAGGGAUAAGUGCUGAAAGCAUCUAAGCAUGAAGCCCCCCUCAAGAUGAGAUUUCCCAUAGCGUAAGCUAGUAAGAUCCCUGAAAGAUGAUCAGGUUGAUAGGUUCGAGGUGGAAGCAUGGUGACAUGUGGAGCUGACGAAUACUAAUAGAUCGAGGACUUAACCAUAUAA
rnacentral:rRNA from 1 species